GAGUAAAUGUCAUCUAACCAGUUCUCACGGUCAGAACACUGUAAAAUGUCUGGAUUUUCCUAUCACUAUGAGUCAGUGAUAAGGUAUGAGUUUCCCCACGCAUCCGAGACUAUUUAAGGACCAGUACGUGUCAUUCACAAGUCACAAUAGCACAGGUGCACGUCCUCUAGAGGAAGGAAAGCGACAGAAGGAGGAAGGAAGAACAAGGUACGAGAUAAAGUGUGCGGCUAGGUGGAACGACCAUUGACCUGGAACAGGGGCAAAUACCAAGCCGGAGUUUUUAUAACUAUAGAGAAGAUAAAAUUGAGAACUAGGAAAUAAGGAGCUGGAUAAGGAACGAAGGAACCCAGACGAGGUCAACCAAGAGUAGACCCGUGACAAGGAGUAAGGAACACUCUCGAAAAGGAGGACACGAAUAGGAAAGAAUCGAAAGGAAACAACCGAGAUCAGGAUCAUGGAAUGCGCGAGAACCAAUAGACAGGCAACAAAAAAGAUCGUGGCCGUGUUGCCACUUUAUUAUCCGAUGGCCCAAAUGAAUCCGCAGGACAUCCCGUCCUAUCAGAAGGCCAUACGACAAAUAAUCAAGCUGGAAAGGAGGGCACCCCCCCAGUUCCUACAUCAUGAGAUAAGAAACGGUGGCUUGAUCGUUACGUGUGCCACCGACUACGACAAACAGUGGCUCGUUAGACAUAUCGACCGUGUAAAAUUCAGAUAUAGACUCCAGGUAGAUGAUCCGAUCGCCUUGGAAUAUAGAUUUCUAAUAGAGGGCGAAGUUAUCAACUUGAAAAAUACCAAAGAUAAUAUUUUGCAUAAAAUCAGGUGUUAUAACUCAAGCAUCAUAUUAGGAGAUUGGAAAAUUAUUAAAGAUGAAAUGAACCAUAAAAAAAUGACGAGAACUAUUACAUUUGAAGUGGCUUAUCGAUCGAUAAAAUGCUUAGAACAAUUGAAAAAUAGACUUCGCCUAGACGAAUAUGGGAUUGAUGGAAUUACCUUUGGCCGAAUUCGUCGGAUAAAGAGAGUCUAGUCAUCACGCGAAAGGUCAGAAUCAUCGGAAAGCUCUCGAUAGGAAACAUCCUUGAACAUGCCGAGCAUUAACGCACAACACAAGGCCACGCAUAAGAGCCGGAAUGUAUGUAUAUCAUAGAGGUGUAUGGUCUGUAGAAGUGUUUAAGCCGAGCAAAAUGGGCCGAUUUGGCAGAAGAGUAUUCAUGGACAAAUCGAACGUGUAGAAAAUGGAAAUCCUUAAAUAUUACUAUUAUGACUAUUAAUAAAAUGUAUUCUAUCUUUAUAUAUGUAGACAUAUAAUAAAUAAUAAA